rnacentral:lncRNA from 1 species
CUCUCUGCCCUUUCGGGUAGGGGUAAGGCUCGUCUACAUAUUACCCUCCCCAGACCCCACUUUGUGGGACUAUACUGGGUAGUUGCUGUUGUUGUUGUAUGUUAUUGAAUGAUGUUGCUGUAAACAUGUUGGAAAAGAAUUAUAAUAAAUUUUGUUAAUUGUUUCACACAUAUGUUCAAACAUCUUGGAUGUUCCUAGCGUGAUAGUACCAAAAGUCAUUUUUAUGAACUUGAUGUGCACAAAAGUACAUAAGAAAGAAUGUAUAAAAGUAUAUACAGUAGAAACAACCAAUACCAUAGAAGAAAUUCCUAUUACAUAUGUCUAUGCAUUAACAAAGUUAAAAGCUAUAAGCCUAUAACCACCAAAGUCCAAACAUAAUCUCUACUCUCAGUCGUAUUGGAGAUAAUUUUCAGUAGUUUUAAAAAACCAUAGAAGAGAUUCCUAAUACAUAUGUCUAUGCAUUAACAAAGUUAGAAGCUAUAAGCCUCUAACCACCAAAGUCCAAACAUAAUCUCUACUCUCAGUCGUUUUGAAGAUAAUUUUCUACAACAACAACAACCACCACCACCCAGUAUAAUCCCACUUAGUUGGGUCUGGGGAGGGUAGUGUGUACGCAUACCUUACCCCCACCCUAGGGUAGAGAGGCUGUUUCCAAAUAGACCCUCGGCAUCCUUCCCUCCAAAAACUUCCCACAAAAGUACAUAAGAAAGAAUGUAUAAAAGUAUAUACAGUAGAAACAACCAAUAUCAUAGAAGAAAUUCCUAUUACAUAUGUCUAUGCAUUAACAAAGUUAAAAGCUAUAAGCCUAUAACCACCAAACGUAAUCUCUACUCUCAGUCGUUUUGGAGAUAAUUUUCAGUAGUUUUAAAAAAUAAGUUAGGCCCAACAACCAAUUACACAUCAACCAUUGAACUUGAAUUAAAGCCGGACCACCAUACUAAACACGCCAGAGAGGAAAGAAACUAAAGAAAAUAUAACACAUACAUGCUCUGGAAGAUAGUUUCACCUGCUAAUCAUCUCUAAAUAGUGUUAUUUUUUCAUGAAUAUAAUUUCAAUUCUAUGUCUAAAAUUUAAUAAUUGGGAAUGAUAGAGCAGGACUAAACCGAAGGUAAAGCAAGAAAUAUAACUUGUGGUAAUCCAAGAACAGUCCAUCCAAUUAUAAUGAUGAGAUUGUUCUAGUCAUAGCAACGAAACCUUUUCUAUAGCCUUCUCAAGCAAUGUCACCACAUCUUCUACAGACCAUAGAAACAUGCCAAUUAAGGUAAAGAAGUAUUAUGUCUCUGACUCUCCUUUAACAUGGAAAAAGAGAUAAAGAUUUUGCUAACUGGUGAUAAUUCAAAGAUGUAGAACCAAAGCUAUAAAAAAGUGUGUGUGUAUAAAGAGAGAACAACAACAACAACUACCCAGUAUACUCCCACCAGGUGGGGUCUGGGGAAGGUAAUAUGU